rnacentral:lncRNA from 1 species
ACGUGUUGAAUCUUUGAAGAUAGCUUAUUGUGAUAGGCUAAAUAGACUGCCACAAGUCUUACAUGAGCUCACAUUCCUUACAGUGAUGGAAAUUGGUAAUUGUCGAAGCUUAGUUUCUUUUGCAGAGAAUAACUUACCUCCUAAUUUAAAAAAGCUGAGUAUUACAAACUGUGAGAAUUUGGAGUAUUUGGUUGAUGAAAAAGAAGAUAAUAAGAGUAUGAGUAGUACCCUCUGUCUUCUUGAGGAGUUGUCUAUCGAUAAGUGUCCGUCUCUACUGUCUUUGUCAUCGAAGGGGCACAAAAAUAUUUGCAAUCAGCUUCAACUUCUCGAAAUUAACCAGUGCGAAAAGCUGAGUUGCCU